rnacentral:rRNA from 1 species
GAUGAACGCUGGCGGCGUGCCUAACACAUGCAAGUCGAGCGAGGGUUUGCUCAGUAUUGAGUAUUCUAAGUCUAGAAUGUUCAAUUCUGAGCAAAACCAAGCGGCGGACGGGUGAGUAACGCGUGGGUAACCUGCCCUAUACACAUGGAUAACAUACUGAAAAGUUUACUAAUACAUGAUAAUAUAUAUUUGCGGCAUCGCAGAUAUAUCAAAGUGUUAGCGGUAUAGGAUGGACCCGCGUCUGAUUAGCUAGUUGGUGAGAUAACUGCCCACCAAGGCGACGAUCAGUAGCCGACCUGAGAGGGUGAUCGGCCACAUUGGAACUGAGACACGGUCCAAACUCCUACGGGAGGCAGCAGUGGGGAAUAUUGCACAAUGGGCGAAAGCCUGAUGCAGCAACGCCGCGUGAACGAUGAAGGUCUUCGGAUCGUAAAGUUCUGUUGCAGGGGAAGAUAAUGACGGUACCCUGUGAGGAAGCCCC